AUUGAACGCUGGCGGAAUGCUUUACACAUGCAAGUCGAGCGGCAGCGCGGGGCAACCCGGCGGCGAGCGGCGAACGGGUGAGUAACAUAUCGGAACGUACCCUGUCGUGGGGGAUAACACAGCGAAAGUUGUGCUAAUACCGCAUACGACCUGAGGGUGAAAGCGGGGGAUCGCAAGACCUCGCGCGAUAGGAGCGGCCGAUAUCGGAUUAGCUAGUUGGUGAGGUAAAGGCACACCAAGGCGACGAUCCGUAGCGGGUCUGAGAGGACGACCCGCCACACUGGAACUGAGACACGGUCCAGACUCCUACGGGAGGCAGCAGUGGGGAAUUUUGGACAAUGGGGGCAACCCUGAUCCAGCCACUCCGCGUGAGUGAAGAAGGCCUUCGGGUUGUAAAGCUCUUUCGGCAGGAACGAAACGGUCGUCUCUAACAUAGAUGGCUAAUGACGGUACCUGAAGAAGAAGCACCGGCUAACUACGUGCCAGCCGCCGCCGUAA
rnacentral:rRNA from 1 species